CAGACGUGUUUAAUCUUUAAGGUAAAGUUUAAAGCACUUUAUUAUUGAGCUGGAAUUCUGAAUUUCCAACUAAAUUUUACAGCAUUACUGUAUCCUGAACUUGAUGACAUGGUGGUAAAUUUCAAUUGAGACUUUGACUUUCUGCCUGGCUAUGCAUAUACUGUUUAAUAUUUUUUUGUAUGCAUUUGCACCUCACUUUCUGAUUUCUUAGAGUGAGGGUCUUAGAGGGAAAAUAAUAUAAUGAAUGUGCAUAAUAACAAGCCCAUAAUAUAAAAUAAAAUAUACACUUAGCAAUAUAUAAUUCAUCAGUCGAGGCUUUGUCCUUUCUUCUAGACUUGUUUUCAUAAUUAUGCUUUCAUUAUUUCUAAUGAGCUGUCAAUUACCUAUACAAAUUAAGUGCAGCAGACAUUAAAAGGUGUUUAUAUUAGUAUCAUAAUAACAGUGCUAUGAUUUUAUGAGAUGGCUGUGAUUCAUGCAAGCUUUUAACAAAGGGCCUAUACCUAAGGCUGCUAUUUAUUUUUGUCAAUGAUGUAUAUCUGCUUUCAAGAAAAAUUUAUAAAUAGAAUUGUAAAUCUUGAAUGGAAAUUUAGAAUCUCCCCAAUUUUGUAUUUUAUAAGGCCACACGACUGUUGCCACAAUUAGGCUGCUAAACACCCCAAAAUGUGGCAUUUUGGUUACUAAUGAUAAGCUGAGUGUGGAAUAUUUUCCCCUAUCCACUUCUAUUAUGUCAACAUCUACUACUGUGGACUUCCUUGACUCCAGCUUUGCUACUUCUUUUCAAUCUAUGACUAGUCCUUCAUGCUCUCCCUAGGUAGGACUGCCCCAAGGCAGCUAGCUCAUACCUUAGAUGACUCUGUCAGCCAAUUUACUUUAUAUUUUUUAGGUAAAGAAAUAGAAUUUAUCCUGUGAAUGGAGUACUUUGAGAUCAAACAGCGAUGUGGACCUUGAUUCCAUCUGUCUUACCUUGUAAUUCAGGAUAUGUACAUGGUAUAGAAUUGUGACUUUGUUUGAUUAGAUUUCCCUAUAAAAGGUAUACCAUGGCUUUUACAGUCAUUCACAUCCUCAAAGACUUUGAAUAGAACUUACAAAAUAUGACUCAGAGAAAAAUAACUGCCAUAAAAUAUAGAAUGUCUAUAUUGCUUAUAGCAGUGUAUUAUCUAUUUGAUAAGGGAAAUAGUAAAUUUAUUUUUUCCAUAUAUAACCCAAACUGGAGAAAUGUGUAUAUUUGACUUUUGGGGAAGUAAAAGUUGAAAAUUUUAGUGCUAUGUUAAAAAGUAUUACAUGACCUAUGAAAACUAGCUGUUUUUCACAUGCUAUAUAGAGAAGAUGAAAGCUUAUGGUUGGAGGUAAGGGGUUUAGUGCAAUGUCUAGCCAGAACCAAAAAACAAAAAACAAAAAACAAAAAAACUUGAGUUUGUAUAAAGGGGCACUGCCAAGGCAGUAAAAAGUUCUGUUGAACGACAACAGCAACAUAAUGGAGUUAACUAUCAAAUAGUGUGUGCAUGACUGUCCAUGAGAACAUUAUAGAUACAGAGAGGAGCUUUUAUCUUUGGGUAGUAAUUUUAUUUUAAAUACUGAUAAUAUUAUUCCCCUAAUCACUUCAGAAGUAGUGCCAAAAAUUAUAGUAUCUUCAUGUGUGCCACAGACAACUUUCUGGGAUCAAUUAGUAUGAGAUGCUAUAUAGGCUUGCUUUUUAAUGAAACAGGUAUAAAAAAAUCCACAUGUGGAUUGAGUGAGCGAGCCUCAUUCUCCCCACAGUCACAAGUGAGUGAGCACGAUACCAUGCAUAGAUGGCAUGGAAUGGAAUUGCCAGCAUUAACACCAACAUCAACAAAGUAUAGACGGGAAAAGUUCCAGUUUAGAUGAAUGAAAGCUAACAGCUAUAACAUCAGUGCAGAUGACGUAGAGUCUUUGAUAUGAUGUCCUACCUCACCUAACUUAAUUGGGAGUUAAUUCCGAUAGUAAUGAAAAUCCCCACUGAUGUAGAAUAGAUAAGUCAGUUGAGAAGAUAGAAAUUUUAGAAUCAUCCCAUUUACAGUGUUAGAAAACAUGUAUUAAUAGUCAAAAAUGGAAGCUUUGAUGGUAAUUUCAACAGUCUUUAUGCCAGAACAAACAGACCAAAGGGAAAUCAUUAAAGUACUCUUUAGGAAGAUGCAUAGACAAUAUAAGCAAACAAGCUCCUAUGUACGUGCUACGAAAAUAAACAGGCAAGGACAAACCCUAAGUUUCUUGCCUGUUUUUCUGGUUAGAUAUUGAGAUUAACUAUGAAAAUUAUAAAUUCAAUAUUUUGGGGAUAUUUUAUGUAUGCCGUGCCUAGCUGUGCCUCAGUGUGAGGUUAUGUUGGUUAAAAAAGACAUGCAGCAUUUGCUUUGGUACAUACUGAUUUUAUAAUGUCUGAAAUAUAUAAUCUAGUUGUCUAGCACAGUGGUGGGUUUGUAAAUUUGAUGUGAAUUGGGGGCUAAAUAUAGAAAUCUGGGAGUUUUGCUAACAGUAAAAUAGUAACUAGUGUAUUUCCCAGACUUGCAUAGAGAGAAACUGGGCAAAAAGGGCUUGCCUACUAAGAUUAAAAUUUAUGAAAUCUUUAAAACCUACUCACUAUAGACAAGUUUCAAUGAACUAUUUCUUCUUUCAUUUGUAGGAGUCUAAAUGUAAACAAAAUAUUCCCCAUAAGUAAUCCUUCAUAGAACAUGAAAAAACAACCAUAAUUUAUGAUUCAUAGAAAUGUUCACUUUCUUAGUAUGAUGUUAAUGGAUUUUUUUUUGCGAGAGAAAUAGAGAGUGGGAAUGAUGAAUCAUGAAAACCGGCAAUUUACUUAGGAUAGGUGUAUUUCCUUCCAACCAUUGUCCUGUAAAUGAUAUACUUGUUUUAUAAAUAGUGGCCUAAUUGUCAAUUAAAGACAGCAGGAGACAUAGGCAAGGUGAUUAGACCAUGAUGUAAUCAAGACAAUAAGACGCAUCAAAAGCAUUUCAAAGGAAGGAACCAAUUUCAUAAUUAGAUACCUUGGCUACUAAACAGUAAAGUCAAAGAAACACAUGGAAAAGGAAGCCAUUCAACAAAACAAUUGAAUGGUUUUGUGAAUUAUAACAACCUACGUGUAAUCUGCUUCUCUGAACAAAGGCAAUAAUUUCUUCUUGUUCAUGAUAAGUGACAUUGAAACAAAAAAACGUAGGUUUGCUUAAGAAUGGUGAUUGAGAUUUAGAGUUGGAGAAUAAAGAAGAAAGCAAAACAUUAAAUAAUUGGUUCCCAUCUCUUUGUGCAAAGGAGGAAAGGAAGGCAUGGAUCUUGUACCCAAGUGAAAGAUGGCCCAGGACGGCUAAGAGAAGCAGGUCACUGUUCUCUCCAUGAUGACUCUGGGAUCCUGUGGUUCUGCCUACCUAGGGCUUUGGAAUCCUCUCCAUCUAGCAGGCAGAGGGGGCAAAUGCAUGGGAAAGCUACACCUGCUUCUUAAAAUGAUGGUCCCUAAAAGGACAUGGGCUUAUGCUCACAUUCUUUUGACUAGAACUCAUACAUGGCCAGAGACAACUGCAAAGAGAAUGGAGAAAUGUUGUUUAGGGUGAGCACGAAGCCUAAUGCCAUGAACACAACGAAUAGGAGCCUGAGACCCUCCUGAAACCAAGUCAUGGAGGUAGCUAGGAUAUGCCAAAUGGGAGAUCCCACAACAGUCCUCACUCACUAAGGGAUACCUGGAGAAAUUGGCCUUGACAACAUCAGCAGUAAUCAAUGGGAGCCCCAGCAGAAGGAACAGACAAACCAAGCAAGCCAACACAGCAGUGAAGAAGCUCCGUAAAUUUAAUUGCCUUUGAAACACAGCCCACAGAGUUAGGUGAAGACCCGCAUGCUAAACUUAAAUAGGGUGAAUGCUGACUUAAAUAAACUAUAUAAAUAGACCCACAGUCUCCUACCACAAUAGGCAAAAUGUUCAGGAUACAAUUCAAAAUAAUUAGAUAUAUCAAAAUUCAGGAAAAUUGCAACUUCAGUGGCAAAAAAAAUAAAUGGAUGCCAGCACUGAGAUAAAUCAGAUAUUGAAUAGAUUUAAUAAGAAAUUAAUGAGAGGCAUCAAAAUAGUGUUUGAAUAAUCCAUUACAAAUUCUUUUGCAACAAAUAAGAAUACAUAGAAAAAAAAUCAAGAAAGAAAUUGAGAUCUAAAAAAUAACAAAUGGAAAUUAUUGAACUAAAAAAAUAAAUAACCAAACCAAAGCAAAACAAUCUUCUCUGGCUGAAUUCAUGAAUAAAGGUCAAAUGGCAGAGGAUUCAAUUAGUAACCAUGAAGAUGAAAUAACACAACAGAGAAAAUAACGAAUAAAGCCUAAAGGAUCUAUGGGAUACUAAGAUCCAGUAUUUAUAUCAUCAGAGUCCCAUAAGAAAAUGAGAAAUUAAAAGAGAAUGAAAGAGUAUUUGAAACAAUAUUUUGUACAAAUCUUUCAGCUUUGGUGAAAUAAACAAACAUACAGAUUCCAAAGGUUGGGCAAACUCCAAACAGAAAAGUUUAUAAUAAUAAAUAUAUGUGCACAAAAUAUAUAUUCCUAAAGCAACAGACCAUGAAAUACAUAAACAAUCUCAUAGAGUUGAAAAGAUAAAUAGACAAAUCUACAAUUAUAUUUGGGGACUUCAACACACUCGCAAAAACAAGAGAACUACUAGCAAAUAUGUAGAAGGUCUGAAUAACAUAAUCGACCAACAGUGUCUAACUGGUGUAUAUAGUACAAUCUACUCAACAAAAGCAAAAUACACUUUUUUAUUCAAACAAUUAUGGAAAAUUAAUCAAGAUAGACAAUAUUCUAGGCCAUAAAACAAACCUAAACAUUUUUAAAAGAUUUAAAAUGAUGCACAGUUGAUGAGAAUGUAAAGUUGUACAACCACUACGGAAACCAGUGUGGAGUUUCCUUAAAGAUCUAAAAGUAUAUCUACCAUUUGAUCCAGCAGUUCCACUCCUGCAUAGCUACCGCAAGGUUAUUACACAAAAGUCAUUAUAUGAAAAAGAUAUUUGCACACACAUGUCUAUAGCAGCAAAAUUCUCAAUUGCACAAAUAUGGAACCCGUCCAAAUGCCCAACAAUCGAUGAGUGAAUAAAGAAAAUGUGAUAUAUGUAUAUAUAUAUGUAUAUAUACACACACACACCAUGGAAGACUACUUAGCCAUAAAAAGGAACAAAAUAAUGGCAUUUGUAGCAACCUGGAUGGAAUUGGAGACCAUUAUUCUAAGUGAAAUAACUCAGGAAUGGAAAACCAAACAUCAUAUGUUCUCACUCAUAGGUGGAAGAUAAGCUAUGAGUAUGCAAAGGCAUAAGAAUGAUAUGGUGUACUCUGGGGACUUAGGGGAAAGUGUGGGAAGAGUGUGAGGGAUAAAAGACUACAUAUUGGGUACAGUGUAUAAUGCUCAGGUGAUAGGGUGCAUCAAAAUCUCAUAAAUCACCACAAAAGAACGUAUUCAUGUAACCAAACACUACAUGUUCCAUAGAAACCUAUUGAAAUAAACAAAAAAUGUAUUGUACAUUUUUAAACAAAUAAAUAAAAUGUUGCAGAGUAAGCUCUCUUACAAUAAUUGAAUCAAACUAUAAAUAUAUAACAUAAAGAAAACAGAAAAACAUCUCUAAACAUGGAAACAUUAAACAACACCCUUCUAGAUACUCCCCUGGCCAGAGAGUAAGUCUCAAAGGAAAUUUUAAAAAUAUAUAUUACUGAAUGAGAACAUAAUAUAUCAAAAUUUGUGGGACUUGGUUAAAGAGCAAUUGAGAGAAAAACUUAUAGCACUGAAUGCCUGCAUUGAAAAUGAGGAAAAGUCUCAAAUCAAUAACCUAUGUAUCUACCUCAGGAAACUUGACAAAGAAUGGAAACGUAAACUCAAAGCUAUAAUGAAGGAAAUAUAGAUAGGAACAAACUCACUGAAAUUGAAAAUAAGAAGCAAUAAAAAUAAUAAACAAAACAGCUAGCUUAUCAAUAAAAUUAAUAAACCUCUAUUAAUUUUAUCAAUACAAUUAAUAAGACUAAUAAAAUAAGAGAAGAUACAAUUUCCCAAGAAUCAAAAUAAUAUUGUGUAUCACUACAUAUCUUGCAUCCAUUCAAAAGAUUGUAAGAAAAUAUUACAAACAAUUUUAUGCUCAUAAAUCUGAAAACUUAGAAGAAAGGAAGUGACUCGUCAAAGACUACAAGCCACCAAACUCAACCAAGAUGAAAUAGACAGUCUUAGACGCUCUAUAAAGAUAAUUUUGCAAAAUGUAAAAAAAAUUAAAAAGAAUCACCAUGAAUAUUGAGCAAUUUUUUCCAGAAAGUGUAAGAAAGAACACUUCCCAAAUCAUUUUAUGAGACUAGUAUUACCUUGAUAACAAUAUCAGACAAAGACAGUACAAUAAUGAACUGUACACCAAUAUCUUGUGACUUUAGACACAAAGGUCUUGAAUAUAAUAUGAGCCAAUUGAAUGAUAAAUGUGUAAAAAGAAUUAUACACUAUAGCCAAUUAGUAUUUAUUCCAGGGAUGCAAGGCUGUUUUAACAUCUGAACAACAGUCAAUACAAUCCAUCAUUUAAACAUGGUAAAGAAGAAAAAUCAUUUGAUCAUAUUAAUUGUCAAAAGCCAACAGCAAUUCAUAACAAAACUCUUGUUUUAAUUAAUAAACUUAAUUUUUGGAGCUGAUUUAGGUUCACAGCAAAAUUGAUUUGGAAAGUACAGAGUUCACGUAUAUCUCCUGUCCCCAUGAAAGCACAACCUCUUCCACUAUCAGCAUCAUGCACCAGAAUGGUACAUUUGUUACAACUGAUGAACCCACGUUGACACAUCACAUAAUACAACUAUUAGGGAAAUAAGAGUAGAGCAGAGUUACCUCAAUUUGAUUACAGAGCAUCUACAAAAACGCUAGAGCUAACAUACUUAAUGGUGAAAGACAAUGAUUUUCCCCUAAGAUUGGGACAAAGGCAAGAUAUUUACUCUCAUGAAGUUGAUUCAACAUCAUCCUGGAAGUUGGUUCUAGUUUGUAAUAUAAAGCAAGAAGAGGAAAUACAGGACAUACAAAUUGAAAUAGAAAAAAAAAGUUGUCCCAUUUAUAGAUGGCAUAAUUGUCUAUAGAGGAAAUUCUGAAGAAUCCACCGAAACUUCAUAGAACUAAUCAGUCAGUUGAGUUAGGUCACAGGAUUCAAGAUCAACCACAAAACAAUUAAUCACAUUUUUAUGUUCUAACAAUGAACCUGCUGUGUAGAAAGUAAAAAUAACACUAUGGAAUUCACAACUGCUCAGCAGAAAAUUAACUACUUAAGUAUACACUUAGCAAAACAUACAUGCUGAAACUUACAGAAAGCUGAUUGAAAAAAUCAAAGACUUACAAUAAAUGGAGACAGACACAAUAAUCAGGGAUUACAAGACUCUACAUAACUAAGAUUUCAAUUCUGCACAGUUAAUCUAUAGAUUUAGUGCAAUUUCUGUCAAAAUCUAAACAAGAUUUUUUAUAGGUAUAGAUAAACUUAUUUAAAAAUUCACAUAGAAACACAAAGGCCCCAUAAUAGCUAAGACAAUCUUGACAAAAAAAGUAGAAUAAAUUAUUCUAUUGUAAUUACGCUUACUAUAAAACUAUAGUGAUCACGUAAAAUGUGAUAUUGGCAAAGGAAUAGGCACACAGUUUGCUGGAACAGAAGACCUGGUAAUAGACCCACAAAAAUAUGCUGAACUUGUUUUUGACAAAAGUACAAAUUCAAUUUAAUGGAGAAAGGAUAGCCUGAGGCAAUUGGUUCUAUGUAGGAAAAAUAAAAAGUAAAAAGAAAAAAAGAGAACCUAAAACUCAGAAGUUAGACAAAACUUAAAAUAGAUUACAGAAAAUGUAAAACAAAAAGUACAACUAUAAAGCAUUUAGAAAUAAAGAAGAGGAAAUCUAAAGGAUAUAGAAUUAGGCAAAUAAUUUUUAGACUUGACAUUCAGUGCACAAUCUAUUAAAGAAAAAAUGAAAUAUUGGGCCUUAUCAAAAUUAAACACUUUUACUUCAUAAAAGUACAUGUGAAAAAAUAUGAAAAGAUAAACUACAGUUUGAGAGAAAAGGUUUGCAAACAACAUACCUAAAAUGUAUAAAACAUUUUCAAUUCUUAACAGUAACAAAUUUUAUAAAAACAUAAUUUGAAAGUGGACAAAAUACAUGAACAGUAGUUUCAUCAAAGAAGACAUACAGAUGACAAAUGAAGUCACAAAAUAUUGCUCAACAUUAUUAUUCAUUUGGGAAAUGCAAAUUAAAAUACAAAUUACAUAUUGAUGGCUGCCUACUCAGAAUGUGUAAGAUAAAAAAUGGUGACACCUUUAAACAUUGGCAAGUGUGCAGAGAUACUGGAUCAUUCUAAACAUUUGGUAGUUUCUAAAACAAACAAAAAAUACCUGAAGAUACAACCAACAUAUGACCUAGCAAAUGCUCUCUGGGGCAUUUAUCCCGCAGAAAUGAAAACUUCCAUUUGUAGAAAAUACUGCAUAUGUACAUUUAUAGAAGCUUUACUUGUAAUAGUCAAAAUCUGUUUCCAGCCUGAUGUCCUUGAACAGAUGAAUGGUCAAAAAAAACUGUGGUACAUCCAUAUUAUGGAAUAUUACUUAGCAACAAAAUGUAACUAUAGAUAUGCAUAACAGUUUGGAUGGAUCUCUGGGGAAUUAUUUUGAGUGAAAAUUCUUAUAGGUUCCAUAUAUAUUUUCAUUUGAAAUGACAAAACUGUAGAAACAGAAGCCAGGUUAGUAAUUGCUAGAGAUUGGAGGAAGAGAGUUUGAAGGGAGUGAGUGUAAUUAUGAAAAAGCAUCAUAAGGGAUUCUUAUGACAUUGUAUUGUUCAGUAUCUUUACUGUGGGAGUAGAUAUAGGAACAUAAGCAGGUGAUAAAAUUGUAAAGAAUUGAAUGCAUAAACAAAAGAGUAAAACUGGGGA
rnacentral:lncRNA from 10 species